rnacentral:lncRNA from 1 species
UUCAACUGCUGUGAACUUCAAUUGCAAUGGGAAGAAUAAGAAGAAGAAUAAGUAUAGAUGGAUGAAUAGAGUGGGUUCUAAUAAUGUUGAAGAGAUUCAUCUUAGUAAAAAUUGGUUGAAAGCUUAUCUCAGUUCCUUUCUCAUCAGUGUGUUAAUAUAUUUCUGGUUGAAGUUAUAAAUGUACGGUUGUCAUUGUCCACCAGUAACUAGCCUCUAUGAGUAGCUAGAGCUUUGCUUGCAUGUUUCAUUAGAACCAACUAUAUUGCUUCAUUGUGGUUCCUUUAUUUCUUUGUAUGUUUGCGUAUCUUUAAGGAUCCAAAGGAACCAUCUUAUCCAAACAAAAUCCAAAGCACCCACCAAGAGCAGUAUAUUGCUUGACCACAAACUUGCAUUAUAGGAAAUGACCUUUCAUCAAUACACCGGAAAUAGCUGACUUUAAUAGAUAAGUGUGUUUCCUUUCUCUUGUUUCAUUAGAGUUGCCCAGGUGUCUUCUCUUAUGUGUAGUUUCAUAACAGCGUGGAUGCAUUGUAAAUAGCAGUUUCAACUUCUAUGUGAACAAGACUUGGCUAUUGCUCAUGAAAGUGAUGGUACCUUUAAUAGGAAAAGACUUAACAGCUUGCCUGAGUUUCAGUAGAUUAAUUAUUAUUAAGC